AUUGAACGCUGGCGGCAGGCCUAACACAUGCAAGUCGAGCGAGCGGCGGACGGGUGAGUAAUGUCCGGGAAUCUGCCUGAUGCAGGUGGCUAACUACUGGACACGGUAGCUAAUACCGCAUACCAUUAGAUGGGCCCAGAUGGGAUCAGCUGGUAGGUGGGGUAACGGCUCACCUAGGCGACGAUCCCUAGCUGGUCUGAUAGGAUGCCCAGCGACACUGACACGGAGACAAGGUCCAGACUCCAACGGGAAGCAGGAGUGGAGACUAUUGCACAAUGGGCGCAAGCCUGAUGCAGCAAUGCGGCGUGUGUGAAGAAGGCCUUCGGGUUGUAAAGCGAUAUCAACGGUGAGGCGGUACCCGCAGAAGAAGGACCGGCGAACUCCGUGCCAGCAGCCGCGGUAAUAC
rnacentral:rRNA from 1 species